CAGUCGCCGCGGGAAUACGGAGGGUGCAAGCGUUAAUCGGAAUUACUGGGCGUAAAGCGCACGCAGGCGGUUUGUUAAGUCAGAUGUGAAAUCCCCGAGCUUAACUUGGGAACUGCAUUUGAAACUGGCAAGCUAGAGUCUUGUAGAGGGGGGUAGAAUUCCAGGUGUAGCGGUGAAAUGCGUAGAGAUCUGGAGGAAUACCGGUGGCGAAGGCGGCCCCCUGGACAAAGACUGACGCUCAGGUGCGAAAGCGUGGGGAGCAAACAUGAUUAGAUACCCCUGUAGUCCCUGUCUCUUAUAC
rnacentral:rRNA from 1 species